rnacentral:rRNA from 1 species
UACGAAGGGGGCUAGCGUUGCCUCGGAAUCACGUGGCGUAAAGCGCACGUAGGCGGACUCUUAAGUCGGUGGUGAAAUCCUGGAGCUCAACUCCAGAACUGCCUUCGAUACUGAGAGUCUCGAGUCCGGGAGAGGUGAGUGGAACUGCGAGUGUAGAGGUGAAAUUCGUAGAUAUUCGCAAGAACACCAGUGGCGAAGGCGGCUCACUGGCCCGGUACUGACGCUGAGGUGCGAAAGCGUGGGGAGCAAACAGG